rnacentral:rRNA from 1 species
GCAUAAUAAUUAGUCUUUUAAUUGGUGACUGGAAUGAAUGAAUAAAUAAAAUUAAAGCUUUAUUAUAUAUAUAUAUAUAAAUUAAUUUAAAAGUGCAGAAGCUUUUAUUUUAUUGUAGGACAAGAAGACCCUAAUGAUUUUUAUUUAAAUAAAUUUAGCCUAUAAAUUACUUAUAUAAUAAUAUUUUAUUAAAAUUUUACUGGGGCGGUAUUUAAUUAGUAUAUUAAACAUUAAGUUUUUGUAUGAUGUAUAUCUUUUUCUUGAUCCUUAUUAAUGAUUAAAAGUAUAAAUACCAUAGGGAUAACAGGCUAAUUAUUUUUGAUAGUUAAUAUUGAAAAAAUAKA